GACGAACGCUGGCGGCGUGCUUAACACAUGCAAGUCGAGCGGAAAGGCCACUUCGGUGGUACUCGAGCGGCGAACGGGUGAGUAACACGUGAGUAAUCUGCCCCUGGCUUUGGGAUAGCCACCGGAAACGGUGAUUAAUACCGGAUACGACCACUUCUCGCAUGGGAUGGUGGUGGAAAGUUUUUUCGGCCAGGGAUGUGCUCGCGGCCUAUCAGCUUGAUGGUGAGGUAAUGGCUCACCAUGGCUUCGACGGGUAGCCGGCCUGAGAGGGUGACCGGUCACACGGGGACUGAGACACGGCCCAGACGCCUACGGGAGGCAGAAGUGGGGAAUAUUGGACAAGGGGUGGAAGCCUGAUCCAGCAACGCCGCGUGAGGGAGGACGGCCUUCGGGUUGUAAACCUCUUUCAGCAGGGAUGAAGCGCAAGUGACGGUACCUGCAGAAGAAGCACCGGCCAACUACGUGCCAGCCGCCGCGGUAA
rnacentral:rRNA from 1 species